rnacentral:rRNA from 1 species
ACUCAAAGGAAUUGACGGGGGCCCGCACAAGCGGUGGAGCAUGUGGUUUAAUUCGAUGCAACGCGAAAAACCUUACCUGGAUUUGACAUCCUCUGACAUCCCUAGAGAUAGGGCUUUCCCGCAAGGGACAGAGAGACAGGUGCUGCAUGGCUGUCGUCAGCUCGUAUCGUGAGAUGUCGGGUUAAGUCCCUUAACGAGCGCAACCCUUGUCCUUAGUUGCCACCAUUCAGUUGGGCACUCUAAGGAGACUGCCGGUGUUAAACCGGAGGAAGGUGGGGAUGACGUCAAGUCCUCAUGGCCUUUAUAUCCAGGGCUACACACGUGCUACAAUGGCCGGUACAAAGGGUAGCCAACCCGCGAGGGGGAGCUAAUCUCAGAAAGCCGGUCUCAGUUCGGAUUGGAGUCUGCAACUCGACUCCAUGAAGCUGGAAUCGCUAGUAAUCGCGGAUCAGCACGCCGCGGUGAAUACGUUCCCGGGCCUUGUACACACCGCCCGU